ensembl:lncRNA
GCUGAAGAGCAUGCUGUGUGUCUUAGGUUGGGAGUUCAGACCCAUGCCAGUCAUGCUGUGGCUUCCCCCCUUUGAUGCUCACUUCACUGGGCUUUUCUUCCCCCCUCCUGCUUAUUAGAUUCUUGCAGCACGAUGCUUCAGUGCACCUUUGUUCAAGCCAAUGCUUUGGACAAAGAGAGGCAUAACGACUGAAAUUUCAACUUCAAACCCCCAGACAGUUUCAGCAGUGCGGAUAGCAACUUAAUCUUUUGUGGAAAUGAAAUCAGUGGCACUCCCAUUGUGUGACGGUUUAUGGCUGACUCCCGAGGAGGGGAGAUGAGAUUAAUUGUGUGUAUGUUUGGGUAGGGGAGAGUGGGCUCUGAAAACAUCCGACUGGGCACAGACGUCAGUUCAACAUCUAGUUUUGAUUUACAUUUUGGAGCCCAGCAGGAGGGUGUUGCUACGCGUCUGCUCUCUGUUCCCCAGCUGUGGCCCAACCCUUUGUUGACUUUUGAAAGAUCAAAUGGCAUCCUCUCUGAGGCUCGCUCCGAGGGACAAAGCCUCUGUAGGACACUACUCUGAUUGAACCUUAUCCUGGAUUUCAAGCAGAAGAACGGUGGUGCUGAAUGGCAGUUUGAUCAUGACAACACUCCUCCCACUGCUGAACAAGUGUUCCUUGAACUUACUUAUAGGUACCCUGGCAAUGAUGGGCUGUGGAAGCAGAGUGCUGGUCUUGUCCUGUUUGCGGUGUGUGGCCAGCUGGAUAAGACUGCCAGAAGUGGUGUAGGGCUUGUAGACCUUAACCACCAACGGUUUGGACCUCUUGCAGAAGAUUUGCUGGUACUGAACGUCACCUGGAAAGACUUGGUUGUGGGGCUACCAAUUUACGGGACGUAGGGCAGCAUGUCGGGACGUAGGGCAACAUGUCGCUGUUGGUAAAGGUGUCAACCGAUUGGGGCUUAAGUAUUUAGAAAUAGACUAGUGUAUUGUUUAGGGACAAUGAGCAACAUUGGGAGCUACUUUUUUAAGGAACGAUCAGUGAACAUCUGGGGGCCUGCAGAAGGUGUGAAAAGUCUUACGGGGCAGUUUUUACACAGUACAGUGCCUACUGAAAAUAUUCAGACCCCUUAACUUUUUACAGCCUUAUUCUAUAAUGGAUUAAAUGAAUACAAAUCCUCAACAAUCUAUACACAAUACCCUAUUAUGACAAAGUGAAAUAAAAAGGUUUUUACAUUUUUUUGCAAAUGUAUUUUAAAAAUUGUUUUUUAAAAUACCUUAUUUACAUAAGUAUUCAGCCCCUUUGUUAUGAGACUUGAAAUUGAGCUCAGGUGCAUCCGGUUUUCAUUUAUCAUCCUUGUUUCUACAAGUUGAUUGGAGUCCACCUGUGGUACAUUCAAUUGAUUGGACAUGAAUUGGUAAGGCACACACCUGUCUAUAUAAGGUCCCACAGUUAACAGUGUAUGUCAUAGCAAAACCCAAGCGAUGAAGUCGAAGGAAUUGUCCAUAGAGCUCCGAGACAGGCUUGUGUCGAGGCACAGAUCAUUCUUAAAUGGAAGAUGUUUGGAACUAAAAAGACUUCCUAGAGCUGAACAAUCGGGGGAGAAGGGCCAUGGUCAGGGAGGUGACCAAGAACCCGAUGGUCACUCUGACAGAGCUCUAGUUCCUCUGUGGAGAUGGGAGAACCUUCCAGAAGAACAACCAUCUCGGCAGCUCUCCACCAAUCAGGCCUUAAUGGUAGAGUGGCCAGAGGGAAGCCACUCCUCAGUAAAAGGCACAUGACAACCCGCUUGGAGUUUUGCAAAAGGCACCCAAAGACUCUCAGACCAAGAGAAACAAGGAUGUCUGGUCUGAAGAAACCAAGAUUGAACUCUUUGUCCUGUAUGCCAAGUGUCACGUCUGGAGGAAACCUGGCACCAUCUCUACGAUGAAGCAUGGUGGUGGCAGCAUCAUGCUGUGUGGAUGUUUUUCAGUGGCAGGGACUGGGAGACUAGUCAGGAUUAAGAGAAAGAUGAACAGAGCAAAGUACAGAGAGAUCCUUGAUGAAAACCUGCUCCAGAGCGCUCAGGACCUCAGACUGGGGCUAAGGUUCACCUUCCAACAGGACAACGACCCUAAGCACACAGCCAAGACAACGCAGGAGUGGCUUCGGUACAAGUUUCUGAAUGUCCUUGAGUGGCCCAACCAGAGCCCGGACUUGAAUCCGAUCUAACAUCUCUGGAGAGACAUGAAAAUAGCAGUGCAGCAAAGCUCCCCAUCCAACCUGACAGAGCUUGAGAGGAUCUGCAGAGAAGAAUGGGAAAAACUCCCCAAAUACUGGUGUGUGUAGCGUCAUACCCAAGAAGACUUUAAUCACUGCCAAACGUGCUUCAACAAAGUACUGAGUAAAGGGUCUGAAUACUUAUGUAAAUGUCAUAUCUGUUUUUUAUUUGUAAUCAAUUAGAAAAAAAUUCUAAAAACCUGUUUUUGCUUUGUCAUUAUGAGGGAUUGUGUGUAGAUUGAUGAGGUAAAAAAUAUAUUUUAUACAUUUUAAAAUAAGGCUAUAAUGUAACAAAAUAUGCAACAAGUCUCAGGGUCUCAAUACUUUCCGAAGGCACUGUAGAUAUAGCUGUGUAUAGGAGAUUGAAGAGAAAUGGCACCUUUCAAUCGUUCCCAUACACAACAAUAUAUUUACUGUCUCUAAGAUCAACCCCCUUCCUCUAAGACCUAUCUGUAAACCUCCCCAGCCCAUUGACCUUGACAGAUCAUUCUUGUCAAUAGUAGCAGGGGAUUUUUGUCGACCUGUCCUUGUAUUGUUUUUUGAGAAUCUGUAGAGAGAAGAAUGAGGUGGUUGUGUCAUUAAGGUUGUCUCGAUGUUAUACCUUUCAGUGUCCCUUGCUUGUUUUUUCCCCCCAUAAUCGUGUUGUGCUCUAUAACCGCACGGUGUGUCCCCUCCCUUUUCAGCAAGGCCUGUGGAAUGACUCCAGAUAACCUGAGUUUUAAAAAGAGAAAAGGUCAAAAGAGAAAAAGGGUAGACUAAAUUGAUCACAUGGCCUGGAAGCUACUCUGUGGUCCUCAGGCUAUGCCUAACCACCUGUAACCCCAUAACACAAACACAAACCCAUACAAACACUACCAAAUUCAUGUUUAUGCCAAGCUUUCUGUUAAUUUAGCUAUUUUAGCCAUCAGCUUGUAAAUAUUCUUGCCAACUUACCUUCACCUUGUGCAAAGCUUGGGGUUGGAAAAACAUGCUGGUGGAAUCAGAUUGUGUACCACCUUCAACAAAACACAUAACAAUACACAAUUUAACCACCCAACUAAUUGCAUCGAUCUCUGUUAGACUGGCAAGCUUAGCACACCUAGCAUGGACAUUUCAAUAUUGUCAGCUUGCUGUUAGCUAGUUAGCAUCAAUAAAUUGGCAGCAAGAUUGCUAGCCAGCUGAGAACCAACUGACCAACCAUAGACAAUUUAUACACAUUCAUAAUUUCUACCCACACCGAGAGUGAGUUGGCCAUAUCGACAAUUCUAUUUUUAUAGAUGGCUACCAGAUGGCUACCAGAUGGCUACCAGAUGGCUACCAGAUGGCUACCAGAUGGCUACCAGAUGGCUACCAGAUGGCUACGUUAGCUAACAUUACUCAAAUAUGGAAUGAACAGACAAACAUGUUUACUCUGCUGAAGGUAGCUACCAGUCUAGCAUUGACUACCAGGACUGUAACAUUAGAUAAGGUAGCUAAUUUACCUAGUCCAGCAAAUAUUACGUUACCUCUAAUCGAGAAUCUUCUGUUUUGUUGUAAAGGUUGAAAACGAUGGUAUCGUUUUAGCUGUCGACUAAAAUCUGUUCAGCCUGAAAAUCCAUCUGAUAGUCUUUGGUCACCGUAAGUAUCAUUCUUGAUAGCCUAAACCACUGGCAGCAUUUGGGUAAAUGGUAGGUAGAACAAUGAAAAAUAACACAUUUCUGUGCUUGUUUAUAAUAUGCACGGCCUGAGAGAACACAACAUGGGCCUGAGGACAAACAUUCGUUACAAACAAAUGUAAAAAUAAAUAAAAAAAUGCCUGGAAAAGUUCAAAGAUGAAUGUGUAUUUGUAUUUAUUUAUUAUGUCAAGGCAGCAGCUACUCUUCCUGGG